UAGCCACACAGUGUGUCUGACCUCUGCAGAUCAUCCACACGAAGCUUCCGAUCUGAUCGGCUCCUCACGAAUGCUAGUUCGUGGCUGAAUCCUUUUGAUGGCCGAUGUUGAUCGAACUCCUUCGAUCUUGAUCUGUCGACUCCUCAGAUACUCUGGAUCAUCAACAGAUGUACUUGAGAGGUUGAUGAUGCUCUCCCUAAAAUCUGGUGGACUCACGAUACUCGUAGCUCACUUUCUCACUUCUCGAACCCUAAGCCAAAACCCUUGGGUACACUCCGAAGAAACUUGCGCCCACUUGUUUCUUUCUUUUCUC
rnacentral:lncRNA from 1 species